rnacentral:sRNA from 1 species
AAAGGUGUGAGGAGUGAAGUGAACUACGAAAAAUCCCCGAAGUCGAAACAAGGUAAGACGCUCGGGGAUUUUUCGUA